AUCGCUUGGAUUCGGGUGUUUGGUUAUUAUACUAAACUUUUAAAUGACUGAAGUUGUAUUUAUAAAAAGUAUCCCUUCAGCUGGCAUUUCAAUAUUAAUAUGAGGGACGAUAAUUAAUACGAGCUUGUAUCCUGAGAAAUAAUGUAACAUAGAACAAUGCGGAAACAUCGUCAUACAUGAUAUUUCCCGCGCUACAACUUGCUGGUCUGAUAUACAAUCGUUGUGCACAGCAAAAUCUUUCGAAAUAGCAGUUUUCGAGUCACAAAAAGCCAGGAUUAACUCUGAUAUGCUGUCUCGAUAUAUCAGCAGGCCGAUUUGCUUCGUUGGAGACGUUGAGAAGGUAAUAUGCUAGUGUUAUUGGUCCACGGUUAGUUCAGCACUAUAAAAUGGAUUUCUAGUGAGUGAUUCACUGUAAGUCGGUCGACUCGGACGGAGACGGGAGUGCUGCAUCAGUGGAACUCAACGAGCCCCUUGAUGAGGAGCUGAGCGGGGUGGUGGAGGUGCUUGGUAUGGUGUCCAACAAAGGGACAAUAAUGGCCUCUGCAUACAACACACUCAGAGAAGACAAAGGCAUUCCUUUCGACCUGGAGCUGUACAAUGAAGUCCUGAAAGUCAUCCAUGAUUUCCCCCAGCACUAUCCAUUUGAAAUGGCCACCAGUGGAUGAGCACUUUGCACUUAUUCAUUACUUCCUAAAGAUCAUUGUCAACAUGAAACUCCAUUCUCUUGUUUGCCAUUUUUUUUAUCUACUUGUAUAUGAGUGUUAAAUGUAUAUGUACAGUUUCUUCUAUUUCUUCAUAUGGAAAAUAAAAAUGAGUGCUUUUAUAACGGUCUGUUUAGUCAUUACAACAAGAUUCAUUAAUAAACCCAAAAUAAGCCGUGUCUCAAUUUGUUUGAUAUCAUCAUCCUCGACUAAAAUCAAGCUUUAUUAUCUUAACUCAACCAAGUUACUGCAUCAACUGUUUAUAAUAUUGUCGUUAGCGGGUCUACUCCUUAGCUAAUUAACUUGAACAGCGAGGGUUAGGAGGACUCCUAAACAGUAAAAGCAUUUGGCUAGUAAUUUUUUUUGGGGGGUGGGCUCCCGAGUGGUACAGGGGUCUAAGGCACUGCAUCUUAGUGCUAGAGGUGUCACUACCGACCCUGGUUCAAUUCCAAGCUGUAUUGCAACCGGCCGUGUUUGGUUCACCCAUAGGGCGACGCACAAUUGGCCCAGCGUUGUCAGGGUUUUGCCGCAGUAGGCCGUCAAUAAUUUAUUCUGAACUGACUUGCCUAGUUAAAUAAAAAUGUAUAUAUAUUCCCCUCCCAUGUUUUCUGAUCACCUUUUAUUUAUUUUUUGACAAGACUAAAAACACCAGCAAAUCUGCUUCUUGCGGUCAGUCUGCAGUCUACAAAUGAUUUGUAAUUAUGUUCCAACCCUCUGACCCUCCGCUCAAGAAAAAAAUUGGUCCGUGGCUGAAUCUAGUUGAUCACUGAGCUAGAGGGGUCUCUGCAAUAUAUAUUGUAUUUCAAAUCUGACUUGAAAAUGGCUUUCUGCCAUCUUCUACUCUACUGCAUGCAUGGCUGUGUUGUAACGCCCUCUGUUGAUGCAAAGUGUUCAACACAAGCUGCUGUACUGCUGGAACCACACUUCUUACCACCAUGUGGUGAGGUAGGGACUAAAUAACCAUCAGCAACACGAUCACUGUAUUACUUAACCCUAAAAUAAAAAGUAGUUUCCCACCCCUGAAAAAACAAUGUUUUUGUUUCAUUAUAUCCCAUCAGUAUAUUCAUGGGUUGACAAGUUUGAGAUUGUUCAUCACUUUAGUCUUGGCAAAUGCCCUCCAAAUAUUAUGACAUCUAUGCAUGGUUCACAUUCUUUACCUGAAAUCUGAGAUGCACAAUUGACUGAAUAUCACUGGGUGUAAAAUUCUAAUUGUUAUUGUAAUUUUCUCAUCUAUAGGACCUGCCCAUGCAGUAUGUGCGUAAAGGCAGUAUUUCAUUCUGUAAUAAACACUGAUAAAUGUUUCAUUUCUCAAUGGAAUUGUAUUUAAGACCUGUUUUGAAAUGAAAAAUAAAAUAUUGCUUAAUGGCAA